rnacentral:rRNA from 1 species
UACGAAGGGGGCUAGCGUUGCUCGGAAUCAUUGGGUUUAAAGGGUCCGUAGGCGGUUUUGUAAGUCAGUGGUGAAAGCCCAUCGCUCAACGGUGGAACGGCCAUUGAUACUGCAAGACUUGAAUUAUUGGGAAGUAACUAGAAUAUGUAGUGUAGCGGUGAAAUGCUUAGAGAUUACAUGGAAUACCAAUUGCGAAGGCAGGUUACUACCAAUAUAUUGACGCUGAUGGACGAAAGCGUGGGGAGCGAACAGG